rnacentral:rRNA from 1 species
CGCGUAGGGGGCAAGCGUUGUCCGGAAUCAUUGGGCGUAAAGAGCUCGUAGGCGGCUCAGUAAGUCGGGUGUGAAACCCUCAGGCUCAACCUGGGGACGCCACCCGAUACUGCUGUGGCUAGAGUCCAGUAGGGGAGUGUGGAAUUCCCGGUGUAGCGGUGAAAUGCGCAGAUAUCGGGAGGAACACCAGCGGCGAAGGCGGCACUCUGGGCUGGUACUGACGCUGAGGAGCGAAAGCGUGGGUAGCAAACAGG